AUUGAACGCUGGCGGCAGGCCUAACACAUGCAAGUCGAGCGAGCGGCGGACGGGUGAGUAAUUUCUGGGGACUGCCCGAUGGAGGGGGAUAACUACUGGAAACGGUAGCUAAUACCGCAUACUAUCGGAUAACCCAUAUGGGAUUAGCUAGUAGGUGAGGUAAUGGCUCACCUAGGCGACGAUCCCUAGCUGGUCUGAGAGGAUGAUCAGCCACACUGGGACUGAGACACGGUCCAGACUCCUACGGAGGCAGCAGUGGGGAAUAGUGCACAAUGGGGGCAAGCCUGAUGCAGCCAUGCCGCGUGUGUGAAGAAGGCCUUAGGGUUGUAAAGUACUUUCAGUCGGGAGGCGUUACCGACAGAAGAAGCACCGGCUAACUCCGUGCCAGCAGCCGCGGUAAUAC
rnacentral:rRNA from 1 species